CAGUCGAGCGGUAACAUUUCAAAAGCUUGCUUUUGAAGAUGACGAGCGGCGGACGGGUGAGUAAUGCCUGGGAAUUUGCCCAUUUGUGGGGGAUAACAGUUGGAAACGACUGCUAAUACCGCAUACGCCCUACGGGGGAAAGCAGGGGACCUUCGGGCCUUGCGCUGAUGGAUAAGCCCAGGUGGGAUUAGCUAGUAGGUGAGGUAAAGGCUCACCUAGGCGACGAUCCCUAGCUGGUCUGAGAGGAUGAUCAGCCACACUGGGACUGAGACACGGCCCAGACUCCUACGGGAGGCAGCAGUGGGGAAUAUUGCACAAUGGGGGAAACCCUGAUGCAGCCAUGCCGCGUGUGUGAAGAAGGCCUUCGGGUUGUAAAGCACUUUCAGCGAGGAGGAAAGGGUGUAAGUUAAUACCUUACAUCUGUGACGUUACUCGCAGAAGAAGCACCGGCUAACUCCGUGCCAGCAGC
rnacentral:rRNA from 3 species